UACGUAGGGUGCAAGCGUUAAUCGGAAUUACUGGGCGUAAAGCGUGCGCAGGCGGUUAUGUAAGACAGUUGUGAAAUCCCCGGGCUCAACCUGGGAACUGCAUCUGUGACUGCAUAGCUAGAGUACGGUAGAGGGGGAUGGAAUUCCGCGUGUAGCAGUGAAAUGCGUAGAUAUGCGGAGGAACACCAGUGGCGAAGGCGACUCGCUGGACCGGUCCUGACGCUCAGGCGCGAAAGCGUGGGGAGCGAUCCGG
rnacentral:rRNA from 1 species